CCUACGGGAGGCAGCAGUGGGGAAUAUUGCACAAUGGGGGAAACCCUGAUGCAGCGACGCCGCGUGAGUGAAGAAGUCAUUCGUUAUGUAAAGCUCUAUCAGCAGGGACGAAAAUGACGGUACCUGCGUAAGAAGACGCGGCGAACUACGAGCCAGCAGCCGCGGUGAUACGUAGGGGGCAAGCGUUCUCCGGAUUUACUGGGUGUAAAGGGAGCGUAGACGGCAGUGCAAGUCGGGAGUGCAGGCCGGUGGCUCCCCCCCAGGACUGCUCUGGAAACUGUUAGGCUGGAGGGCAGGAGGGGUAAUCGGAAUUCCGAGUGUAGCGGUGAAAUGCGUUGAUAUUAGGAGGAACCCCAGUGGCGACGGCGGCUUACUGGACUGUAACUGACGUUGCGGCGCGAACGCGUGGGGAGCAAACAGGAUUAGAUACCCGUGUAGUC
rnacentral:rRNA from 1 species